AUUGAACGCUGGCGGCAUGCCUUACACAUGCAAGUCGAACGGUAACGCGGGGCAACCUGGCGACGAGUGGCGAACGGGUGAGUAAUGCAUCGGAACGUGCCCAGUAGUGGGGGAUAGCCCGGCGAAAGCCGGAUUAGUACCGCAUACGACCUAAGGGUGAAAGGGGGGGAUCGCAAGACCUCUCGCUAUUGGAGCGGCCGAUGUCAGAUUAGGUAGUUGGUGGGGUAAAGGCCUACCAAGCCGACGAUCUGUAGCUGGUCUGAGAGGACGACCAGCCACACGGGGACUGAGAGACGGCCAAGACUCCUACGGGAGGCAGCAGUGGGGAAUUUUGGACAAUGGGCGCAAGCCUGAUUCAGCCAUGCCGCGUGCGGGAAGAAGGCCUUCGGGUUGUAAACCGCUUUUGUCAGGGAAGAAACGCUCUGGGUUAAUACCCUGGGGUAAUGACGGUACCUGAAGAAUAAGCACCGGCUAACUACGUGCCAGCCGCCGCGGUAA
rnacentral:rRNA from 1 species